rnacentral:rRNA from 1 species
ACCCGCUGAACUUAAGCAUAUCAAUAAGCGGAGGAAAAGAAACUAACAAGGAUUCCCCUAGUAACUGCGAGUGAAGCGGGAAAAGCUCAAAUUUAAAAUCUGGUAGUCUUUGGCUGCCCGAGUUGUAAUCUAGAGAAGUGCUAUCCGCGCUGGACCGUGUACAAGUCUCCUGGAAUGGAGCGUCAUAGAGGGUGAGAAUCCCGUCUUUGACACGGGCUGCCAGGGCUUAUGUGAUGCGCUCUCAAAGAGUCGAGUUGUUUGGGAAUGCAGCUCUAAAUGGGUGGUAAAUUCCAUCUAAAGCUAAAUAUUGGCGAGAGACCGAUAGCGAACAAGUACCGUGAGGGAAAGAUGAAAAGAACUUUGGAAAGAGAGUUAAACAGUACGUGAAAUUGUUGAAAGGGAAACGCUUGAAGUCAGUCGCGUCGGCCGGGGAUCAGCCUUGCUUAAUUGCUUGGUGCACUUUCCAGUCGAUGGGUCAGCAUCAAUUUUGACCGGUGGAUAAAGGUCAGGGGAAUGUGGCAUCUCCGGAUGUGUUAUAGCCCUUGGUCGCAUACAUCGGUUGGGAUUGAGCAACUCAGCACGCCGCAAGGCCGGGUUUUUAUAACCACGUACGUGCUUAGGAUGCUGGCAUAAUGGCUUUAAUCGACCCGUCUUGAAACACGG